rnacentral:tRNA from 1 species
GCGCAAAUCGGUUAACUGGCAAACCUAUCGCCUCCAAAGUGAUGACUCUAGGUUCGAAUCCUAGUUUGCGCG